rnacentral:rRNA from 1 species
GAUGAACGCUAGCGGGAGGCCUAAUACAUGCAAGUCGAACGGCAGCAGGCAUAGCAAUAUGUGCUGGCGAGUGGCGCACGGGUGAGUAACGCGUACGCAACCUACCCCCAACCGGGGCAUAGUCACGGGAAACUGUGAAUAAUUCCGUAUGAGGUUGAGCUACCGCAUGGUGGUUUUACCAAAGUCUCCGGGCGGUUGGG